UACGUAGGGGGCAAGCGUUGUCCGGAAUCAUUGGGCGUAAAGAGCGUGUAGGCGGCUCGAUAAGUCCGCUGUGAAAGUCCAGGGCUCAACCCUGGAAGGCCGGUGGAAACUGUCGGGCUAGAGUCCGGAAGAGGCGAGUGGAAUUCCCGGUGUAGCGGUGAAAUGCGCAGAUAUCGGGAGGAACACCAAUGGCGAAGGCAGCUCGCUGGGACGGUACUGACGCUGAGGUGCGAAAGCGUGGGGAGCAAACAGG
rnacentral:rRNA from 1 species